rnacentral:lncRNA from 1 species
CCGCUCUCGCCCCCCGACGGCGCCGGCCGUGCAGCGACCCCUCCGCGUCCCGGCUGAACUCUCCUCCCCCGGACCGGCCGGGGGUGGGACUUGUCACUGGGAUGCAGGAGCUCCACACCGGGGAGAGAGGGGUUGCCGUUGAAGAAAAUGCAGCAUCCUUGGAUAAAACACCUGAAGCUCAUGAAUGGUGAACAGCAAGGAUUGCUUCAAGAAUAUUGAUUCCAGAAUCUAGCAAGGAAGACAUUAAGAAAAUUUUAAAAUUUCUGGUUUUCCCAGGGGACCACACCCAAGUAGCAUUAGGCAAGAAAUUAUAGGGUUUUCUUGUCCUAUAAAAAGCUAGCAGGCUUAGUGAUAUUUCCAUCUAAAUCAUUUCCAGUAUUUCUUCUGAAAUAUCCAAAGCCAUUAAAAC